GAUGAACGCUGGCGGCGUGCCUAAUACAUGCAAGUCGAGCGAACGGACGAUAAGCUUGCUUUUCUGAUGUUAGCGGCGGACGGGUGAGUAACACGUGGAUAACCUACCUAUAAGACUGGGAUAACUUCGGGAAACCGGAGCUAAUACCGGAUAAUAUUUUGAACCGCAUGGUUCAAAAGUGAAAGACGGUCUUGCUGUCACUUAUAGAUGGAUCCGCGCUGCAUUAGCUAGUUGGUAAGGUAACGGCUUACCAAGGCAACGAUGCAUAGCCGACCUGAGAGGGUGAUCGGCCACACUGGAACUGAGACACGGUCCAGACUCCUACGGGAGGCAGCAGUAGGGAAUCUUCCGCAAAGGGCGAAAGCCUGACGGAGCAACGCCGCGUGAGUGAUGAAGGUCUUCGGAUCGUAAAACUCUGUUAUUAGGGAAGAACAUAUGUGUAAGUAAAUGUGCACAUCUUGACGGUACCUAAUCAGAAAGCAACGGCUAACUACGUG
rnacentral:rRNA from 1 species